rnacentral:rRNA from 1 species
UAGGGAAUCUUCGGCAAUGGACGAAAGUCUGACCGAGCAACGCCGCGUGAGUGAAGAAGGUUUUCGGAUCGUAAAACUCUGUUGUUAGAGAAGAACAAGGACGUUAGUAACUGAACGUCCCCUGACGGUAUCUAACCAGAAAGCCACGGCUAACUACGUGCCAGCAGCCGCGGUAAUACGUAGGUGGCAAGCGUUGUUCGGAUUUAUUGGGCGUAAAGCGAGCGCAGGCGGUUUCUUAAGUCUGAUGUGAAAGCCCCCGGCUCAACCGGGGAGGGUCAUUGGAAACUGGGAGACUUGACUGCAGAAGAGGAGAGUGGAAUUCCAUGUGUAGCGGUGAAAUGCGUAGAUAUAUGGAGGAACACCAGUGGCGAAGGCGGCUCUCUGGUCUGUAACUGACGCUGAGGCUCAAAAGCGUGGGGAGCAAACAGG